ensembl:lncRNA
GUCUGUCUUAGUCCUCUGUCUGCUGAUGAUAAGUUGAUGUGCCUUUUGUCUGAAUGGUGUGCACAUCCUGUUAUUGGAUAGUAUUCGGAAAUCAUGAGCCAGGAAAUUCUGAUUUGCUAGCUGUGCUUUACAGAGGUGAGGAAUUCGGAGAAGCCAUGUGUCAUUCACAGUGCAUGUUUAAAAAAACAUGUAUUUCACCUUUAUUUAACCAGUCUUAGGAUCAACGGCUGCUGCAACAGCAACCACUUCGACCUCUGUGACUUCCCCUGAAGGACCCAAAGGGACACACACAGACAUCCCUCCCACUCAGUCACCGGGCAAGAGCCUCACCAUGCUUGCCUUUGGUGUCAUGACUUUAAUCCUCAUUCUCAUCAUUAUCAUGGUGGUUUUAGUAACAGUGGUCAACCUAAAAGACAAGUGCAGCAACUCCAAGGAGGAAGGUAAAAAGAGCAGUGAUUCUGUGGUGUCUGAAAGCAAUGUCACGUUUAGUGGAGAAAAAGAGAGCAUCACUUUGAUCUCCAUGAAGACCAUUAACACAGAAACUGACACAGACUCCCCCCAGGUCUCCUCCAUUCACAGUACAACACUGGACUAUGAGGAGCAGGAGCAAAACAGGGACCUAUUGAACAACAAGCUGGUGUGAAAAUAAAGACCCUAGAUGUUCCGUUCCAAAACACAGAAAUCACCAAACUACUCAAACAAAAUAGUACAGUGGUUGUUCUAUACACCUGAGAUCAAGUUACCGGGAGUCCACACAGCACCUGAAUUCAUAGCUGUGGAGAUAUUAUACAUUAAGCUACAACUAGGCCUACCAUUGUGUCUGAUGUGUCUACAUGUUGCCAUUCUAAUACAAAUAUCCCAUGUUUUUGUGUGAUGAUAUCAAAACUGCCUUUAUGGAGACAAUGUUGUGUGUUCUGUUUCAUAUAUAUAUUUUAUUUAUUUAUUUUAUUUCACCUUUAUUUAACCAGGUAGGCCAGUUGAGAGCAAGUUCUCAUUUACAACUGCAACCUGGCCAAGAUAAAGCAAAGCAGUGCGACAAAAACAACACAGAGUUACACAUGGGAUAAACAAACGUACAGUCAAUAACACAAUAGAAAAAUCUGUAUACAGUGUGUGCAAAUGAAGUAAGGAGGUAAGGCAAUAAAUAGGCCAAUAGUGGCGAAGUAAUUAAAAUGUUGCAAUUUAUGUGUGCAAAAGAGCAGAAAAACAAAAACAAAUAUGGGGAUGAGGUAGAUAGUUGGUUGGAUGGGCUAUUUAC